GGCUCGGGAGCAUCCCGCUCUGGCAGCUGCUGAGGAGGUGGCACAUGUCGUGCUCUCCCCCAAAACCAAGAAUUGAGGGGAAAGUUCAGGCCCAGCUCUGAGCGCAUCCAGCAUGGCCGGGGCAUGGGAAUAGUGGGGCAAAGCAGACAGGAGCCUUCUCCAGCUGACGGGCAGUUUCUGGUUUCUCUCCCCAGAGUGCCAAAAUCUGAUUGGGUGGUGUUUAUCCAUGCACCCCUUGGCCAGACCCUCAUUAGAAGAGGUGUUCUGUCAUCCUUGGAUGCAGGAUAUUCAUCUGCCCUAGAAGAAGGGAGUGAGCCACAGGCACACUUUGAUCCAGGGCCCUGCUGGGGCCCUGGACAGAACCCUGACAGCCUGGUCUGAGCCCAGAAAAGGAGAAGGAGCCCCCAGAGAAGCUGUACCAGGUGGGGCUGCUGCUGCUGGGGACAGCAAGGAUCACAUCAAGGAUGACAGCCUCUUCCUGGACCUGGCCACUGAGGAAGCAUUCUGGUUGGUCCAGUCUGGAUCAGGAAGUUCUUGGGAGCAGUUGUGGCGUGGAUGGGCCGUGCCCUUGGAGCAGGCUGAG